rnacentral:rRNA from 1 species
UACGUAGGGGGCAAGCGUUGUCCGGAAUCAUUGGGCGUAAAGAGCGUGUAGGCGGCCCGAUAAGUCCGCUGUGAAAGUCCAGGGCUCAACCCUGGGAUGCCGGUGGAUACUGUCGGGCUCGAGUCCGGAAGAGGAGUGUGGAAUUCCUGGUGUAGCGGUGAAAUGCGCAGAUAUCAGGAGGAACACCAAUGGCGAAGGCAGCUCGCUGGGACGUGACUGACGCUGAGACGCGAAAGCGUGGGGAGCAAACAGG